CUGGCAUUCAUUAAAAAUAGUUUAAGCAACCUAGAUGUCCAUCAGCAGAUGAAUGGAUAAGAAAGCUGUGGUACAUAUACACAAUGGAGUAUUACUCAGCCAUUAAAAAGAAUACAUUUGAAUCAGUUCUAAUGAGGUGGAUGAAACUGGAGCCUAUUAUACAGAGUGAAGUAAGCCAGAAGGAAAAACAUAAAUACAGUAUUCUAACGCAUAUAUAUGGAAUUUAGAAAGAUGGUAACAAUAACCCUGUGUAUGAGACAGCAAAAGAGACACUGAUGUAUAGAACAGUCUUAUGGACUCUGUGGGAGAGGGAGAGGUGGGAAGAUUUGGGAGAAUGACAUUGUAACAUGUAAAAUAUCAUGUAAGAAACGAGUUGCCAGUCCAGGUUCGAUGCACGAUACUGGAUGCUUGGGGCUAGUGCACUGGGACGACCCAGAGGGAUGGUAUGGGGAGGGAGGAGGGAGGAGGGUUCAGGAUGGGGAACACAUGUAUACCUGUGGUGGGUUCAUUUUGAUGUUUGGCAAAACUAAUACAAUUAUGUAAAGUUUAAAAAUAAAAUAAAAUUUAAAAAAAAAAAAAAAUAGUUUACACAUUUGAAAUUGUCCCAGAGUUCUUGGAUAUCCUUUUCUAUCUUUCCUUAUUCUGUGUGUGUUUCACUUUGUUGUGUUAUAAAUUGUGAGGAGUAAGCAUUCUCUAAUAUUCCAAAUAAAUCUUUUAUUUUGGUGAUGGACAGGGAGGCCUGGCAUGCUGCGAUUCAUGGGGUCGCAAAGAGUCGGACACGACUGAGCGACCGGACUGAACUGAAUCUGAUCCCACGAAUUACUAUAAUCAAACUGUUGGUUGUCAUCAGUGUCGCAAACUUGACUGAAAUUGAGGUAUGGUAUUGAGGUACGGUAUAAAGGUAUCCAUUAAAAUUCUAGAAAGCCCUUAAAAAUGAUACAUGGAAGUAUUAAUCAGUUUCCUUAAAUGAUAGAGCAAUCCAUUCAAAUCAUUAGAAGGAAGGAAAUACCCAAUGACAUAUUUAAAAUUCUGUAGUAGAAAGUGAUUUAAAUUAAUUAGGAAGAUAUAAUUGGGGGUCUAGAAAAUUUGAUAUGUAAAAUGAAGUUGGAGACCACGUUUAAUAUUAAUAAAGGAAUUCAGAUCCCAGAACACCUUUGACCUGUCUCUAAUAGUGCAAAACUGAGCAAAUAGAACCUUGGAGUAUUUGAUAAAUUUCUCCCAAAAUUGAGGCUCAUAAUUUUGAUACAACUUUUAUUUAUAGAUAUAAGC
rnacentral:lncRNA from 1 species